AAGCAGGAGCCGGUAUCAGGCCAUAGCCUACAACGCCACGCCACGCCACACCCACACGGGCCCGCAGCAGUAACUAAUAUUAGGCCAUCGGCGAAAGCCCGACCUAGUUAUAAUUAAGAGGGUUGGUAAAAUUCGUGCCAGCGACCGCGGUUACACGAAUGACCCGAGAUAACAGCCACGGCGUAAAUAUGACCAGAGUUUAGGGAGGAGACUAAGACCCGCUGUAAAAUGCCAAGUCUAAAAAAACCCCCUCGCCCUAAGACUCUUGACUCAUGAAAGCCAAGAAACAAACUAGGAUUAGAUACCCUACUAUGCUUGGCAGAAACAAGGCUCCAGCCCGCCAGAUAAUUACGAGUAAAAACUUAAAAUUCAAAGGACUUGACGGUGUCCCACACACAACCUAGAGGAGCCUGUCCUAUAAUCGAUAAUCCACGAUAGACCCCACCACUUUUUGCCAAACAAUCUAUAUACCGCCGUCGAAAGUCUACCUUUUGAAAGAAAAGAAGUAGACAAAAAAGCCCCCCC
rnacentral:rRNA from 1 species